AUUCUGUGAUCCUUUAUGCAGCACAAAAUUUGAUUUCUCUUGUCCUGUUUUACACCUCCUUGGCCAUGCGUACCAAACCGACACAGAUAUUUUACUUCGUGAUGCUGAAGCCAGGUGAAGUGAGGGGACACGGCCUGCCGGGCAGGGCGCGGGAGCCCCGUGAAGGGCUCGGCCGGAGAGGCCGCAUCUCCCACCCAGCCGUGACUUUCGGAAGCUGGACCCAGCCCCAGCGAAGGGACGCUACGAGCCGCCCUUGACCCCACGGAGGAGGCUCCCGGCUCCUCCUGACGCCACCGAGGCAGCCCAAGAUUUUUUUAAAAUUCAAGUUGUAUGUGGGUUUAGCAAAAGCAGCCAUGUUGAGGCCUGUCUAAGUACAAUUCAAUAUCUGCAAAUUGCCACGGUGGGUGAGAAAAAAGUAAUGCCCACUACUCAACUGGACAUAGAGGAGAAGAAGGAGGGAGUACGUGUCUGUCCCAUGGUGAUAAUGGAUGCUGCCCAAGAUGGGAUCUGCUGCCACUUGUGGAGGAGUGGUCUGUGGAGAGUACAAGUGGCCCUGGCUUGGCAAGUGAACCCUUCCAGUCUGAUCUGA
rnacentral:lncRNA from 1 species